CUAAUUGUUGACUCUUUCUGCUUCUUGUAGACCCUUCCUACUUCUUGCUGCCCCUUCCUGCUCCUUGCUGCCCCUUCCUGCUUAUUGCAGCCCCCCAUCCCUCACUUACCUGAUCUGUAGGAUUUCUCUGCAGUCUGGGAGUUGCUGGCUGCACUCUGUGCUGCUAUCCCAAAGAUUCAGUCAGGAGAUAGAAGCAGAAAUACGAUGUAGCUUUCUAUCCCUGCCUCUCUUCACAUACAGAGCCACCUAUUGCAGUGUAUUCUCAAUCUCAAACGAAAAAUACCGGCACAAGCUGAAAAAUCUGGCGGAGGGGGGAUGAACGGGGACGACGACGACGUGCCCCCUUGCCUCCCCCUUCGGAUGUCCAUAAGCACAGCCGAGAGUUCCUUAACUGUUUGCACAUUGGCUGCUAGUGCUGCCAGCAGUCAAAUAGUUCAGAUUUGUUUUUUAAUUCAGGACCAGAGUUGAAGCAUCUGGACCCUAACUAAGUUAUUUUGGGGGUACAACUGAAAUCCAGACCAAAUUUGACCUGAUUUACACAAUUUGGAGAUUGUUAAAUUCUGAAAUCAACAAUGUCUUGAUUUUGCAGUCCGAAUAGUCCCAUUACAGUCGAAUGCUUUCGCCCCAUUCGGUAAGGGGUAAUUCAGACUUUAGGGGAUAACCCUGUAUGUCUGCAAUUUAAAGUAACACAUUAUUGUCAUUCUCACGUUCACUAUAUUAGAGAUCAUAUUUAUUCUGAACCAUUUAAAUAGAAGCAAUAAUUUCAUGAGGCACAAAUUGGUUCCUCAGCAACCUGUGAUAAGUAGAUUAGAUUAUCAGCAACCCCUAACAAAGGCACAGUAGAAGAGAUAGAAGAGGCAUAUUACCAGGUUUUAGAGUGGCUGGGCUUAACGCUUGGAAUAGAAAUAGGAGGUAGCAGGUUCAUGUUAACAAUAAUUAGGCCAGAUAAACCAGAAAAAAACAAAGAGUGAAGUAAGAAGUCAUGGUCAGGACAAAUAGGUUUAAAAAUCAGAAAAAACAAAUUGAGAAAUCAGUGUAGUAUGUUCAUAAUGGUAAAUAGUAUGCAAAUACUAUUUGACACCAAUGUGGCUCCACUAUGAUAGUGUGGAGUGGUACAAGCAUUAAGCAAGAACAUAGUGCACACCGUGUAUUCCUUAAAGCUACAGGAACGCUUCUCAUCAAACACUCUACAUAUUGUAUUCCUUAAAGCUACAGGAACUCUUCUCAUCAAACUAUCUUCAUAUUAUUUCAUUAAAGCUACAGGAACUCUUCUUAUCAAACUAUCUACAUGUAGUGUUCCUUAAGGUUACAGUACUCAUCUCAUCAAUCUAUCUUCAUAUUAUAUUCCUUAAGCUACAUGAACUCUUCUCAUCAAUCUACCUUCAAACUGUAUUCAUUAAGGUUACAUGAACUGUUAUCUUCAAACUAUCUUCACAUUGUGUUCAGUAAAGAUCCAUAAACUGUUAUCAUCAAA